rnacentral:rRNA from 1 species
UACGGGGGGGGCAAGCGUUGUUCGGAAUUACUGGGCGUAAAGGGCUUGUAGGCGGCCAAGUAAGUCGGAUGUGAAAUCCCCAGGCUUAACCUGGGAACUGCAUCCGAUACUGGUCGGCUUGAAUCCGGGAGAGGGAUGCAGAAUUCCAGGUGUAGCGGUGAAAUGCGUAGAUAUCUGGAGGAAUACCGGUGGCGAAGACGGCAUCCUGGACCGGCAUUGACGCUGAUGCAGCGAAAGCUAGGGGAGCAAACGGG